GGUCAACUGAAACGAAAUAUAACUUUUUCCAUAUUAAGUAUGUAUUUGCUUCAUUUAGAUCGUAUAAAAUGAUUGUGCGGGUUUGUUCGGUUCAUUUUGGUCAUAUAUCCGCGAUACGCGCGGAUAAAGAUAGCGCACCUGUGUCAGAGCAGAAAAUAUUGCGGGAGUUAUGCCCCUUUACACGAACCCGCCAUAUUGAAACUAAAGACGCUAAUCAGCAGGUGACGUCCGGUAAACAACGAGUAAAUAUGGUGUUUUGUGCGGUUCCUGACUGUAAGGUUUAAUAUAGACAGAGUAACAAUGUUUAGUUUCCCUACACACACAAAAAAUUGCGGAAUUUGGGUGGGGAAAUUAAAAACAAUGGAUUAAUUAUUGGCCGUCGAAGCACUCUAUUGAGGACUGUUAGGCCUACAUAAUAAGCCGUCCAUCAGCUGUCCAUGGCAUGGUCUUUGCAUGGAACACUCAAGAAUGCAAUGAAAGAAAAAGCCAAUCCCAAUUCUCUUUGAUUACAAACCGCUACACGUAGCUACAAAGACCUGAAAGGGCCGAAAACGGAAAACAGAUUUGGACUUUCCCCUUCAUAAACAAAACUUCCAGAGCUGUGGAGAAAAGAACAUUAAGCCUUUGAAUUGAUGCAGGAAGUGAUCAGUUUGGCUCCUACAGAAACUCCAGGAAGUUAAUAUAAUGGAUGUUGUUGGUAAUUCUCCUGCCCCGAUCACAAAUUCCUACCAACAUGUGUCAAACUCAGGUGACUGGGACCUGUAGACCUUUUGGAUUUAACCCAAAUUACAUAUAUGUAAAUUGGUGAUAUAUAUUAUGUACAAUAUAAAAACUGAACAUCAAA